rnacentral:rRNA from 1 species
AUACGUAGGGAGCAAGCGUUGUCCGGAAUUACUGGGCGUAAAGGGUGCGUAGGUGGUCAUGUAAGUCAGAUGUGAAAGACCGGGGCUUAACCCCGGGGUUGCAUUUGAAACUGUGUGACUUGAGUACAGGAGAGGGAAGUGGAAUUCCUAGUGUAGCGGUGAAAUGCGUAGAUAUUAGGAGGAACACCAGUGGCGAAGGCGACUUUCUGGACUGUAACUGACACUGAGGCACGAAAGCGUGGGGAGCAAACAGGAUUAGAUACCCUGGUAGUCCACGCCGUAAACGAUGGAUACUAGGUGUGGGGCCCGAUAGGGUUCCGUGCCGAAGCAAACGCAUUAAGUAUCCCGCCUGGGGAGUACGAUCGCAAGGUUGAAACUCAAAGGAAUUGACGGGG